rnacentral:rRNA from 1 species
GACGAACGCUGGCGGCGUGCCUAAUACAUGCAAGUCGAGCGGACAGAUGGGGACUUUCUUCCUCUCCCUCAACGGCCGGCGGGUUGGUAACCAGUUGGCAACCCUCCUGUAAGGCUGGGGUAACCCCCGGAAACCCGGACCAAAACCGGGUAACUAUUUCGCUCCCCAGGGGGCAAUCGUAAAGGUCGCAUUUGCUUAUCCCUAUCAAUUGAUCCGCGGCGCAUUAGCUAGUUGGUUAGGUAACGGCUUACCAAGGCGACGAUGCGUAGCCGACCUGAGAGGGUGAUCGGCCACACUGGAACUGAGACACGGUCCAGACUCCUACGGGAGGCAGCAGUAGGGAAUCUUCCGCAAUGGACGAAAGCCUGACGGAGCAACGCCGCGUGAGUGAUGAAGGUUUUCGGAUCGUAAAACUCUGUUAUUAGGGAAGAACAAGUAUGUAAGUAACUCUGCACGCCUUGACGGUACCUGAUCAGAAAGCCACGGCUAACUACGUG